GACGAACGCUGGCGGCGUGCUUAACACAUGCAAGUCGAACGGAAAGGCCCUGCUUUUGUGGGGUGCUCGAGUGGCGAACGGGUGAGUAACACGUGAGUAACCUGCCCUUGACUUUGGGAUAACUUCAGGAAACUGGGGCUAAUACCGGAUAGGAGCUCCUGCUGCAUGGCGGGGGUUGGAAAGUUUCGGCGGUUGGGGAUGGACUCGCGGCUUAUCAGCUUGUUGGUGGGGUAGUGGCUUACCAAGGCUUUGACGGGUAGCCGGCCUGAGAGGGUGACCGACCACAGUGGGACUGAGAUACGGCCCAGACUGCUACGGGAGGCAGCAGUGGGGAAUAUUGCACAAUGGGCGGAAGCCUGAUGCAGCAACGCCGCGUGCGGGAUGACGGCCUUCGGGUUGUAAACCGCUUUCGCCUGUGACGAAGCGUGAGUGACGGUAAUGGGUAAAGAAGCACCGGCUAACUACGUG
rnacentral:rRNA from 1 species